GCUUUUUAGGGGAUCAGAGAUCUUGAAGGAAGUUGCAUGGGUCAUCUUUGAUGAAAUUCAUUAUAUGAAGGAUCGUGAAAGAGGUGUUGUNNAUUAUAUUUUUGCCACCAGAAAUAAAGAUGGUUUUCCUUUCUGCAACAAUGUCAAAUGCCACAGAAUUUGCAGAGUGGAUUUGUCAUUUGCACAAGCAGCCANNNNACGUUGUAUACACAGAUUUUCGACCAACUCCUUUGCAGCAUUAUGUUUUUCCCAUGGGCGG
rnacentral:misc_RNA from 1 species